rnacentral:rRNA from 1 species
GACGAACGCUGGCGGCGUGCCUAAUACAUGCAAGUCGAGCGAGUGAAACUAACUUAUCCCUCCGGGUUGACGUUAGUGGAUCUAGCGGCGGACUGGUGAGUAACACGUGGGCAACCUGCCUGUAAGACUGGGAUAACUCGCGGACACGCGAGCUAAUACCGGAUGAUACUUUGAACUGCAUGGUUCGAAGAUGAAAGGCGGCGCAAGCUGUCACUUACAGAUGGGCUCGCGUCGCAUUAGCUAGUUGGUGAGGUAACGGCUCACCAAGGCGACGAGGCGUAGCCGAACUGAGAGGGUGAUAGGCCACACUAGGACUGAGACACGGACAAGACUCCUACGGGAGGCAGCAGUAGGGAAUCUUCCGCAAUGGACGAAAGUCUGACGGAGCAACGGCGCGUGAGUGAUGAAGGUGUUCGGAUCGUAAAACUCUGUUGUUAGGGAAGAACAAGUACAGGAGUAACUGCUGGUACCUUGACGGUACCUAAUCAGAAAGCCCCGGCUAACUACGUG